CUCCAAUAUCCUCCCUAUUGAAGUGCCACUCCGAAGUUCAUCAUGGAGUGGAGUGAACUGGAACUGCACCCGCAAUAUUUCCAAGGUAUCCUUCUACCUCCUAUCCAACAUUAGAAUCCCCAGUCCCACACUCCCAGGGGGUCUCUCAGUUACA
rnacentral:lncRNA from 1 species